AGAGUUUGAUCCUGGCUCAGAAUGAACGUUGGCGGCGUGGAUUAGGCAUGCAAGUCGAACGGGUCCGCCGCAAGGCGGAUCAGUGGCGCAAGGGUGAGUAAGGCGACGGCAACCAACCCCAUGGUUGGGCAUAGCCGCGGGAAACUGCGGGUAAUUCCCAGCGAUGUUCGCUUGGGGCAUCUCGAGCGAACCAAAGCUCU
rnacentral:rRNA from 1 species